rnacentral:lncRNA from 1 species
GUAGAUCGAAUACCUAACCGGAAAAAACUUCCUUACACUUGGUAUCCAUAAAGAUGUCAUUCUGCCAUGUACAAAAUGGUCUAGAUCAUUGCCGCAUGUUGGUACUGAUGAUUCUUACCAUAUUUGCAAGCCGGAUUGACAUCUCCAUGUGAUUCCUGCAAACACUCGAUCGGUGUACGGAAGACUCUUUCAGGUCACGAAAUCUGGCAACAAUUGGGCAGCAAACCUUUUCCUGCUUUGAAUGUCAAUGCUUUCGUAGGCAGUGCCCGAAUGAGAAUUAUGUUGUGGGGUUUCAAUUCCGCAGAAAUGAUCAGGUUCGAUGUUCUGCCCUGAUGAGAGUAGAUUGUGUUGGGAUCCUGAUAGUGACAGGUUUUCACAGUGGGGUAGGCCAAGAGUGAGAGACACGCCAUUGUUGCCAUGAAAUGUUGGUGCAGCAAGCUGAUGAUGAUGAUGGUGAUUAUCAGGAUUAAACCUUCCGAUUUCAGGUCCCAUUGAAAACAUGCCAAAUCCACCACCAGGAUCAUUAAUGCUACUCCGCGAAUUCUGCAUCUCAGCAUUCCUUGGUUUCUUCUGGCUUCUUUGAACAAAUCCUUCGAGAUGAUGAUCGGAUGGUCCAAUGAGAUUGAACCCGGUUUGCUGCCGAAAAUUUCCUCCCAUGGGGGAUGUCGACAUUGUUGAGUUCGAAAGUUCAGUAGGAGCUAUCUGGGUUGCGGAUUUUUCUGCUUUAGCUUGGAGAGAUUUUAUUUGUUCCAAUAGUUGAGGUGAUUCCUUGCUCUCAGUUUUGCUUAUAUUCUCGGCACUACCAUUUUUUUCUUGCUCCUUCAGUUCCUCCAUGUACAUUUCUUCAACCAUUGGCUUCCAAAGACGAACUCGAGCAUUUAUAAACCAAUUUGAUACCUGCAUGCAUUUCAAAUAAAGUAAACUCAUAACCACUUGAAUUUUAAGUGUUUGUGGAAUAAUUAAUUCUGUCGUCAUACAAGCUCUUCAAACUAGAUAAUAUAGGACUAACAUUUAGUGCUUCUUUGGGAUUGUGGAAUAGAUUCUCAAAAAAUCAUUCAUUUGAUAAUCUACUCCCAUGGAUUAAGUCCAAGAGAACAAUGCAAAUUAAAUAUAUUUGAUAUACUGUACAUCCUCGAUUAAGUGAUAUUAUUUGAUAAUCCACUGCAAUCUCAUAUGUGCACUUAAUUAAUUUCAUAUUCAAAUUUAAUAACUAUGAGUUACAUAGUUGUAUUAUCCAGAAAGGCUCGUAUCAGGAGAGAAUUUUGGCAGUUAUGGAUGAUGGAAAACAAACACAAUACGAGCAUAGGCGUGGUUAAUUAC